CCUACGGGGGGCAGCAGUGAGGAAUAUUGGUCAAUGGACGAGAGACUGAACCAGCCAAGCAGCGUGAAGGAUGACGGCACUAUGGGUUGUAAACUUCUUUUAUAUGGGAAUAAAAUGUUCCACGUGUGGGAGUUUGUGUGUACCAUAUGAAUAAGGAUCGGCUAACUCCGUGCCAGCAGCCGCGGUAAUACGGAGGAUCCGAGCGUUAUCCGGAUUUAUUGGGUUUAAAGGGAGCGUAGGUGGAUUGUUAAGUCAGUUGUGAAAGUUUGGGGCUCAACCGUAAAAUUGCAGUUGAAACUGGCAGUCUUGAGUACAGUAGAGGUAGGCGGAAUUCGUGGUGUAGCGGUGAAAUGCUUAGAUAUCACGAAGAACUCCGAUUGCGAAGGCAGUUCACUGGACUGCAACUGACACUGAGGCUCGAAAGUGUGGGUAUCAAACAGGAUUAGAUACCCGUGUAGUC
rnacentral:rRNA from 1 species